rnacentral:rRNA from 1 species
GUUAUAUGGUCAAGCGAAUAAGCGCACACGGUGGAUGCCUUGGCGGUCAGAGGCGAUGAAGGACGUGGCAGCCUGCGAAAAGUAUCGGGGAGCUGGCAACAAGCUUUGAUCCGGUAAUGUCCGAAUGGGGAAACCCACCCGCUUGCGGGUAUCCUGCAGUGAAUACAUAGCUGCUGGAAGCGAACCUGGUGAACUGAAAUAUCUAAGUAACCAGAGGAAAAGAAAUCAACCGAGAUUCCGUCAGUAGCGACGAGCGAACGCGGACUAGCCCUUAAGCUGGAUUGGUUCUAGGAAAACGCUCUGGAAAGAGCGGCCAUAGAAGGUGACAGCCCUGUAUCUGAAAGGGCCAUUCCAGUGAAGACGAGUAGGGCGGGGCACGUGAAACCCUGUCUGAACAUGGGGGGACCAUCCUCCAAGGCUAAAUACUACUGACCGACCGAUAGUGAACCAGUACCGUGAGGGAAAGGCGAAAAGAACCCCGGAGAGGGGAGUGAAAUAGAACCUGAAACCGUGUGCGUACAAGCAGUAGGAGCUCCGCAAGGAGUGACUGCGUACCUUUUGUAUAAUGGGUCAGCGACUUACUGUUCGUGGCAAGCUUAACCGUAUAGGGGAGGCGAAGGGAAACCGAGUCUGAUAAGGGCGCAUAGUCGCGGGCAGUAGACCCGAAACCGGGUGAUCUAGUCAUGCCCAGGGUGAAGGUGCGGUAACACGCACUGGAGGCCCGAACCCACUCCCGUUGCAAAGGUAGGGGAUGAGGUGUGAUUAGGAGUGAAAAGCUAAUCGAACCCGGAGAUAGCUGGUUCUCCUCGAAAGCUAUUUAGGUAGCGCCUCAUAUGUAUCCUCUCGGGGGUAGAGCACUGUUAUGGCUAGGGGGUCAUCGCGACUUACCAAACCAUUGCAAACUCCGAAUACCGAGACGGACUGUAUGGGAGACACACGGCGGGUGCUAACGUCCGUCGUGAAAAGGGAAACAACCCAGACCCACAGCUAAGGUCCCAAAUUCAGUGCUAAGUGGAAAACCAUGUGGAAAGGCACAGACAGCCAGGAGGUUGGCUUAGAAGCAGCCACCCUUUAAAGAAAGCGUAAUAGCUCACUGGUCGAGUCGGUCUGCGGGGAAGAUUUAACGGGGCUAAGCACUGAACCGAAGCUUGGGGUGCAUAACUUUGUUAUGCGCGGUAGAGGAGCGUUCCGUAAGCCUGCGAAGGUGGAUUGAGAAGUCUGCUGGAGGUAUCGGAAGUGCGAAUGCUGACAUGAGUAACGAUAAUGCGGGUGAAAAACCCGCACGCCGAAAGCCCAAGGUUUCCUUGCGCAACGUUAAUCGGCGCAGGGUGAGUCGGCCCCUAAGGCGAGGACGAAAGUCGUAGUCGAUGGGAAGCAGGUUAAUAUUCCUGCACCUCGCGUAAGUGCGAUGGAGGGACGGAGAAGGUUAGGUGUACCGGGCGUUGGUUGUCCCGGGGAAAGGCGGUAGGUUUGGAUCUUUGGCAAAUCCGGGAUCCUUUAAGACCGAGCACCGAGACGAGCCUUUAAGGCGAAGUCACUGAUACCACGCUUCCAGGAAAAGCUCCUAAGCUUCAGCUUACGCAGACCGUACCGUAAACCGACACAGGUGGGUAGGAUGAGAAUUCUCAGGCGCUUGAGAGAACUCGGGUGAAGGAACUAGGCAACAUGGCACCGUAACUUCGGGAGAAGGUGCACCCUUUUUGGUGGCUCGUGCGAGCUAUAGCUGAAGAGGGUCGCAGUAACCAGGCCGCUGCGACUGUUUAUCAAAAACACAGCACUCUGCAAACACGAAAGUGGACGUAUAGGGUGUGACGCCUGCCCGGUGCUGGAAGGUUAAUUGAUGGGGUCAGCCGCAAGGCGAAGCUCUUAUCGAAGCCCCAGUAAACGGCGGCCGUAACUAUAACGGUCCUAAGGUAGCGAAAUUCCUUGUCGGGUAAGUUCCGACCUGCACGAAUGGCGUAACGACAGCGGCGCUGUCUCCACCCGAGACUCAGUGAAAUUGAAAUCGCUGUGAAGAUGCAGCGUUCCCGUGGCAAGACGGAAAGACCCCGUGAACCUUUACUAUAGCUUUACACUGAACGUUGAGUUCGUCUGUGUAGGAUAGGUGGGAGGCUAUGAAACCAUGGCGCUAGCUGUGGUGGAGCCAUCCUUGAAAUACCACCCUGUCGUGCUUGACGUUCUAACCUGGGCCCAUUAUCUGGGUCGGGGACCGUGUAUGGUGGGUAGUUUGACUGGGGCGGUCUCCUCCUAAAGAGUAACGGAGGAGCUCGAAGGUACGCUCAGCGCGGUCGGACAUCGCGCACUGUGUGCAAAGGCAUAAGCGUGCUUGACUGCAAGAUCGACGGAUCAAGCAGGUAGGAAACUAGGACUUAGUGAUCCGGUGGUUCUGUAUGGAAGGGCCAUCGCUCAACGGAUAAAAGGUACUCCGGGGAUAACAGGCUGAUACCGCCCAAGAGUUCAUAUCGACGGCGGUGUUUGGCACCUCGAUGUCGGCUCAUCACAUCCUGGGGCUGUAGUCGGUCCCAAGGGUAUGGCUGUUCGCCAUUUAAAGUGGUACGCGAGCUGGGUUCAGAACGUCGUGAGACAGUUCGGUCCCUAUCUGCCAUGGGCGUUGGAGAUUUGAGAGGGGCUGCUCCUAGUACGAGAGGACCGGAGUGGACGAACCUCUGGUGUUCCGGUUGUCACGCCAGUGGCAUUGCCGGGUAGCUAUGUUCGGAAGCGAUAACCGCUGAAAGCAUCUAAGCGGGAAGCGCGCCUCAAGAUGAGAUCUCCCGGGGCACAAGCCCCCUGAAGGAACCAUGUAGACUACGUGGUUGAUAGGUCAGGUGUGUAAGUACAGCAAUGUAUUGAGCUAACUGAUACUAAUGAUCCGUGCGGCUUGACCAUAUAACCU